UGGUUCUGGCAUCGAUGAAGAACGCAGCGAAAUGCGAUAAGUAAUGCGAAUUGCAGAAUUCCGUGAGUCAUCGAAUCUUUGAACGCACAUUGCGCCCUUUGGUAUUCCGAAGGGCAUGCCUGUUCGAGCGUCAUUAUCCACCCUCAAGUUUGACUUGAUAUUGGGGUUGAUCGACUCUGAUCACCCUGAAAGAUAAUGGCGGUGUCCUGAAUGGUCCCCGAUGCAGCGAGCUUAUAGCAUACAUCGACGGAUUGUCAGGUACCAGCUUCAACCGGAGGUGUUUUCACCCCCCUUCUUCAGGUUGACCUCGGAUCAGGUAGGAAUACCCGCUGA
rnacentral:misc_RNA from 1 species